AAUACUUUCCGACGGCACUGCAUGUCUAUGGUGUGUACUAUGUAGGCACCUGAUCUGGCCAUAAGGGAGACUUGGCAUCUACCACCCCCCUGUCAGAUUAUGGGGGACAAUGUUUUUUUGGUUCUGAAAUCACCAUGACUCACUAAUUAACUUGUCAUUUUUGCAGAUUAAGUGUUAGGGCUAGUAAUGUAUCAAUAGUUAUCAUUUAUAAAUUAUCUAUGACACAGCCAAUGAAUAUAUAGCACAACUUUGGAUUUCACCCCAUCUCAAAAUUGAAUGGUUUCACAAUCAAAUGUUUUUCUUUUUGGUCAGAAUUGUUUGUUUAAUUCUCUGAUACUGGUGGUAUUGGUACUUUCAAUAUUUUCCUCAAUUUACUCCAGCAGGCUGCUGACCAGCAGGUCCCUACCAAGCUUGUUCUCCAUUCUCCCAAAGUGGUCAAAAGCUUUGUGGAACGGAUGAACGAGUCCAUCCUGCGCAAAGACAGCAUAGUGAAGGACAACCUUACCCUGGACGUACAUGAAGAGGAGCAUCCUCUGAAACUCAAAGUGGCUUUAUUGGAGCAGCGACGCAAUCCCACGGUGAAUACGGAGCUUGCCGAGUUCAACCUGAAGAUGAAGCAGAGAUCAACACAUUUAAAAGAAGCCCCAACAGAAGCCCCAACAUAACCUGAAAGGGCGGCUGUUGUAGUACAUCAUGAGCUCACAUCCCCCUCGAACCUGCUGCUGACCCAUCCAGACCCUGUGGACAUCCGUUUGGCUAACAUUCUCCUUAUCUAAUAUACACUCACUGGCCAGUUUAUUAGGUACAUACCGGGUCGGACCCUCCUUUUCCUCCAGAACAGCCUACAUUUUUGGGGGCUUUCUACAAGUUAUCUGAAACGUUCCACAGGGAUGUUGGUUCAUGCUGACGCGAUGGCAUCACGCAGUUCCUGCAGAUUGGACAGUGAUACAUUCAUGCUGCGAAUAGCCCAUUCCAUCUCAUCCCAAAGAUGCUGUAUUGGGUUGAGGUCUGGGGACUAUGCAGGCCACUCAAGUAAACUGAACUUGCUGUCAUGCUCCAGGCAAUGUUUUUCCACUCCUCGAUUGUCCAGUCUUGGUGAUCACGUUCCCACUGGAGCCACUUCUUCUUGUUUUUAGCUGAUAGGAGUGGAACCCGGUGUGGUCGUCUGCUGCAAUAGCCCAUCCGUGACAAGGAUUGACGAGUUGUACGUUCCGAGAUGCUGUUUGGCACACCACUGCUGUACCCCAUCAUUAUUUGUCUGUUUGUGGCCCGCCUGUUAGCUUGCACGAUUCUUGCCAUUCUCAUUCGAACUCUC